UACGUAGGGUGCAAGCGUUGUCCGGAAUUAUUGGGCGUAAAGAGCUCGUAGGCGGUCUGUCGCGUCGGCUGUGAAAUCCCGAGGCUCAACCUCGGGUCUGCAGUCGAUACGGGCAAACUAGAGUAUUGCAGGGGAGACUGGAAUUCCUGGUGUAGCGGUGAAAUGCGCAGAUAUCAGGAGGAACACCGGUGGCGAAGGCGGGUCUCUGGGCAAUAACUGACGCUGGAGGAGCGAAAGCGUGGGGGAGCGAACAGG
rnacentral:rRNA from 1 species